ACAAUCACCUGUCGCCGCCCCCUAAAUGAAUUGGCGGCCCCGUCGCGGCCCUCCUCUGCGUAGUAGCAUACACCUCGCAACAGGAGCCCGUCGGUGGCCACUGCCGUAAAACACCCCAAACUUUUUUAGAGUUGACCUCGAAUCAGGUAGGAAU
rnacentral:rRNA from 1 species